GACGAACGCUGGCGGCGUGCUUAACACAUGCAAGUCGAACGGUGAAGGGACUGGCUUUGCUGGUCCUGGAUGAGUGGCGAACGGGUGAGUAACACGUGAGUAACCUGCCCCCUUCUUCUGGAUAACCGCAUGAAAGUGUGGCUAAUACGGGAUAUUCUGGGUCUGUCGCAUGGUGGGCCUGGGAAAGGUUUUUUCCGGUGGGGGAUGGGCUCGCGGCCUAUCAGCUUGUUGGUGGGGUGAUGGCCUACCAAGGCGGUGACGGGUAGCCGGCCUGAGAGGGUGGACGGUCACACUGGGACUGAGACACGGCCCAGACUCCUACGGGAGGCAGCAGUGGGGAAUAUUGCACAAUGGGCGCAAGCCUGAUGCAGCGACGCCGCGUGAGGGAUGGAGGCCUUCGGGUUGUGAACCUCUUUCGCCAGUGAAGCAGGCCUGCUCCUUUUUUUUGGGUGGG
rnacentral:rRNA from 1 species